rnacentral:rRNA from 1 species
UACGUAGGUGGCAAGCGUUGUCCGGAUUUACUGGGCGUAAAGGGCGCGUAGGCGGCCUCUGCAAGUCGACUGUGAAAUCUCCGGGCUUAACCCGGAAAGGUCAGCCGAUACUGCAGGGCUAGAGUGCAGAAGGGGCAACUGGAAUUCUCGGUGUAGCGGUGAAAUGCGUAGAUAUCGAGAGGAACACCUGCGGCGAAGGCGGGUUGCUGGGCUGACACUGACGCUGACAGCGCGAAAGCUAGGGGAGCGAACGGG